GCCCUCGUAGCUCAACGGAUAGAGCAGAGGCGUCCUAAGCCUUUGAUGUGGGUUCAAUUCCUGCCGAGGGCA
rnacentral:tRNA from 2 species